rnacentral:lncRNA from 1 species
CUGGUUUUUUCGUGACUAUUGGUUUGUUUCUCUGGUUGGGUUCGGACUUGCUCUUGUGCUGAGUGCCUCACAGUUUAUUUCUGUGUUUUUUGUAGUCAGGACCUAUUUUUUUCAUUUCUGUGCACUGGGUGUGGCUAGGCUCUUUUUUGGUUUUUUGGUGUAUGACUGUGUGCUUAAGCUCUUUAUUGGUUUUUUGACAGUCAGGACCUGGUUUUGUGUUUCUGUGCACUAGGUGUGGCUGUUUGGCUAGGCUCUUUGUUGGUUUUUUGGAGUAUGGAUGUGUGGCUAGGCUCUCAUAGUCUCAUGUAGAUUGGUGAUCCAUGUCCUACAUCUUUGUUGAAAACCAAUCUUCCAUGUUAACUAAGCCGAUUAAACUAAAAUUUUAACUAACGCGAUGUUUGUUGAUAAUCAAAUGGAUAUGAAGUGGAUCAUUAGCCAACUAAUAUUAAUUGAUAUAUUAUUUCAUGCAAUUGGGUUUGAAUUUGUGUGGAUGUGUUGAUUAUUUCAAUUGAGUAUUAUUGAAAUUCUUGACAGCUUUGUGAUAUUGUUUGUUGUCAUUUCUAGGCUUUAUUUUCUCUAAGUUGUCAAUUUUAUUAUGUUUCUUUGUUGAGCUGAGUUUAUCUUCUUUUUUUUCCUUUUCAGAAUUAAAAGGUCCGAGGACAUCCAUGUGGAAAUAUGGAGAGGAUUGAUUCAACCCAGCGAUUUUAAGAAUGGUCUCCCGAAACCAACUUAUGAGUUAACUGUUAAAGGAGGAUACAAAUAGAAGGAA